AAGCCUUUCAGUUUGGAUGAAGAAUGUUAAAGUCACCCUAAAAACGUUGAAGUCCAGAUGCCAAGAGAAGAGGAAAGAGUUUCAAAGAGGACACGUCACGGUUAUAAACUCUCUGGAGGUAGCGUCUACAUCACUUUUGUUCAUCACUCUCUAGUGCCUGGAACAGUGUCUGCUGUACGGCACUAACAUCUAUGCAGAUGAGGAACUGAAGGCCAGAAGUUAUGAAACACAAGAAUGAAAAUGAGCUCAAAAAUCCCA